ACUCCUACGGGAGGCAGCAGUGGGGAAUAUUGCACAAUGGGGGAAACCCUGAUGCAGCCAUGCCGCGUGUGUGAAGAAGGCCUUCGGGUUGUAAAGCACUUUCAGUAGGGAGGAAGGUAGUGUAGUUAACACCUGCAUUAUUGCGUUACCUACAGAAGAAGCACCGGCUAAACUCCGUGCCCAGCAGCCGCGGUAAAUACGGAGGGGUGCGAGCGUUAAUCGGAAUUACUGGGCGUAAAGCGCAUGCAGGCGGCCUGUUAAGUCAGAUGUGAAAGCCCGGGGCUU
rnacentral:rRNA from 1 species